rnacentral:rRNA from 1 species
CGGCUACUAUCAACGGAACGGGCUAUUAACCCAUCCGCAUUACUCACCGAUGACAGGAGUUUACGACCCUAGGGCCUUCAUCCUCCACGCGGCGUCGCACCGUCAGGCUUUCGCCCAUUGCGAA